rnacentral:rRNA from 1 species
UACGAAGGAUCCUAGCGUUGUCCGGAUUUACUGGGUUUAAAGGGUGCGUAGGCGGACUUUUAAGUCAGUGGUGAAAGCCUGCAGCUUAACUGUAGAAUUGCCAUUGAAACUGAUUGUCUCGAGUGCGGUUGAGGUCACUGGAAUAUAUCAUGUAGCGGUGAAAUGCUUAGAUAUGAUAUAGAACACCAAUUGCGAAGGCAGGUGACUAAGCCGUAACUGACGCUGAUGCA